rnacentral:lncRNA from 10 species
AUUAUUUAGAAGAGGAAGAAGAAGGAGAUGAGGAACAAAGUCUUGAAACGGAAGUAUCAGAUGCAAAGAAUAAAGCUUUCAGCAAGUUUGGAUCUUUUUCUGCCACCUUAGAAAAUGGAAUCUGCCUCUCGAUAAGUUACUAUGGAUCAAAUGGAAUGGCACCAGGUGAAAUGAACACAACAGCAAGGAUAAGUGUGCCCCACAGCCAAGGGUCCCUGCCACUGCCCAUUCUCAGUCUGCUCACUUGUCAAUAACAUGUUAUGAUUUAAUGCUCCUCAUUGUUUUUCCUGCAGGAUGGUAAUAGAAGAGAAGAUAAGGAUCCUGAUUUAGAAACAAUAUUGAAUAUCCCUUCAGCACUCACUCCAACAGUGGUUCCUGUUAUAGUGACCGUUCCUCAAAGCAAAGCUAAAGGGAAAAUAAAAGGCAAAGAA